rnacentral:rRNA from 1 species
UUGGGCCUAAAGCGUCCGUAGCCGGCCGAGCAAGUCCGUUGGGAAAUCCACGCGCUCAACGCGUGGGCGUCCAGCGGAAACUGUUCGGCUUGGGGCCGGAAGACUCGAGGGGUACGUCCGGGGUAGGAGUGAAAUCCCGUAAUCCUGGACGGACCACCGGUGGCGAAAGCGCCUCGAGAAGACGGACCCGACGGUGAGGGACGAAAGCUUGGGUCUCGAACCGGAUUAGAUACCCGGGUAGUCCAAGCUGUAAACGAUGCUCGCUAGGUGUGCCGCAGGCUACGAGCCUGCGCUGUGCCGUAGGGAAGCCGAGAAGCGAGCCGCCUGGGAAGUACGUCUGCAAGGAUGAAACUUAAAGGAAUUGGCGGGGGAGCACUACAACCGGAGGAGCCUGCGGUUUAAUUGGACUCAACGCCGGACAUCUCACCAGCACCGACAGUGUGCAGUGAAGAUCAGGUUGAUGACCUUAUUGGAGCCACUGAGAGGAGGUGCAUGGCCGCCGUCAGCUCGUACCGUGAGGCGUCCUGUUAAGUCAGGCAACGAGCGAGACCCGCACUCCUAGUUGCCAGCAACACCCUUGUGGUGGUUGGGUACACUAGGAGGACUGCCGCCGCCAAAGCGGAGGAAGGAACGGGCAACGGUAGGUCAGUAUGCCCCGAAUGUGCUGGGCAACACGCGGGCUACAAUGGCCGGGACAGUGGGACGCCAAUCCGAGAGGAUGCGCUAAUCCCCUAAACCCGGUCGUAGUUCGGAUUGAGGACUGAAACCCGCCCGCAUGA